GUCAGAGACUAAGGAUCCCCUGCGGGUUCAACCACAUUUAAAGAAGUGCUUUGAAGGCAUUGCUAAAUUGGAAUUCCUUCCCAAUUUGGACAUUAAAUCCAUGUAUAGUGCAGAAGGGGAGAGAGUGGAGCUAAUUCAAACAAUCUCCACAUCUGAAGCCCGUGGUGCAGUGGAAAAAUGGCUUA